rnacentral:rRNA from 1 species
GGUGGAUGUGAGCGGUCCGCCGCUCACGACGUCGCAAGAUGUCCACUGAACCUUAUCAUUUAGAGGAAGGAGAAGUCGUAAUAAGGUUUCCGUAUGUGAACCUACGGAAGGAUCAUUG